rnacentral:rRNA from 1 species
AAUUCCGGGCCUCCUAUACAUGCAAGUCGAGCGGACAGAAGGGAGCUUGCUCCCGGAUGUUAGCGGCGGACGGGUGAGUAACACGUGGGUAACCUGCCUGUAAGACUGGGAUAACUCCGGGAAACCGGAGCUAAUACCGGAUAGUUCCUUGAACCGCAUGGUUCAAGGAUGAAAGACGGUUUCGGCUGUCACUUACAGAUGGACCCGCGGCGCAUUAGCUAGUUGGUGGGGUAAUGGCUCACCAAGGCGACGAUGCGUAGCCGACCUGAGAGGGUGAUCGGCCACACUGGGACUGAGACACGGCCCAGACUCCUACGGGAGGCAGCAGUAGGGAAUCUUCCGCAAUGGACGAAAGUCUGACGGAGCAACGCCGCGUGAGUGAUGAAGGUUUUCGGAUCGUAAAGCUCUGUUGUUAGGGAAGAACAAGUGCGAGAGUAACUGCUCGCACCUUGACGGUACCUAACCAGAAAGCCACGGCUAACUACGUGCCAGCAGCCGCGGUAAUACGUAGGUGGCAAGCGUUGUCCGGAAUUAUUGGGCGUAAAGGGCUCGCAGGCGGUUUCUUAAGUCUGAUGUGAAAGCCCCCGGCUCAACCGGGGAGGGUCAUUGGAAACUGGGAAACUUGAGUGCAGAAGAGGAGAGUGGAAUUCCACGUGUAGCGGUGAAAUGCGUAGAGAUGUGGAGGAACACCAGUGGCGAAGGCGACUCUCUGGUCUGUAACUGACGCUGAGGAGCGAAAGCGUGGGGAGCGAACAGGAUUAGAUACCCUGGUAGUCCACGCCGUAAACGAUGAGUGCUAAGUGUUAGGGGGUUUCCGCCCCUUAGUGCUGCAGCUAACGCAUUAAGCACUCCGCCUGGGGAGUACGGUCGCAAGACUGAAACUCAAAGGAAUUGACGGGGGCCCGCACAAGCGGUGGAGCAUGUGGUUUAUUUCGAAGCAACGCGAAGAACCUUUACCAGGUCUUUGACAUCCUCUGACAACCCUAGAGAUAGGGCUUUCCCUUCGGGGACAGAGUGACAAGGUGGUUGCAUGGUUUGUCGUCAGCUCGUGUUCGUGAGAUGUUGGGUUUAGUUCCCGCAACGAGCGCAACCCCUUUGAUCUUUAGUUUGCCAGCCAUUUUAGCUUGGGUCACUUCUUAGCUGACUUGCCUGGUGAACAGCCGAAGGAAGGGUGGGGGAG